ACACGUAGGUAACCUGCCCAUGUGCCCGGGAUAACUUCUGGAAACGGAUGCUAAAACCGGAUAGGUAGCAGACAAGCAUUUGACUGCCAUUAAAGUGGCUAAGGCCAUGAACAUGGAUGGACCUGCGGUGCAUUAGCUAGUUGGUGAGGUAACGGCCCACCAAGGCGACGAUGCAUAGCCGGCCUGAGAGGGCGGACGGCCACAUUGGGACUGAGACACGGCCCAAACUCCUACGGGAGGCAGCAUG
rnacentral:rRNA from 1 species